UACGUAGGGGGCAAGCGUUAUCCGGAUUUACUGGGUGUAAAGGGGGCGCAGACGGCGAUGCAAGCCAGGAGUGAAAGCCCGGGGCCCAACCCCGGGACUGCUCUUGGAACUGCGUGGCUGGAGUGCAGGAGGGGCAGGCGGAAUUCCUGGUGUAGCGGUGAAAUGCGUAGAUAUCAGGAGGAACACCGGUGGCGAAGGCGGCCUGCUGGACUGCAACUGACGUUGAGGCCCGAAAGCGUGGGGAACAAACAGG
rnacentral:rRNA from 1 species